rnacentral:hammerhead_ribozyme from 1 species
GUACCACUGAGGAGUCCCAUACCAAGACGAAACGGUCGUCUAGUAC